rnacentral:rRNA from 1 species
CCCUAUGGGGUGCAGCAGGUUUUACAGUAUCUACUCUUACGAUCCGGUAGGCCGACCACUUUCCGAAUUCAUUGUUUUCGUUAUAAGAUCUGAUGCGCCAGUAGUAUGCACCAUCGGCGAGGGCAUAAUCCAGGGUCAAUUUUCCCGGGUCCAGUUUUUGAGUAAACACCGUAGUGCUGAACGUGUAGACCUUGCUGAUCUGGAUUUCAUACCGGUAACCAUACGGUGCGUCAUUCCAGGUGAAGGUGGUGGUGGGAGUGUUGACAAAGGCGCCUGCCUCCGGUGAGGUGAGAACCGGCGGGACCGGUAUCGGCAGAGUGAUGGUCACCUGCCGUGCGGCACUCCAGGGGCUCCAGUUACCGGCUGUGUCUCUGGCUCUGGCAUGCCAGAAGUAGAGUGUAUUCACAUCCAUGGCGGGGGGGC